UGUCAGCAGCCGCGGUAAUACAGAGGUCCCGAGCGUUGUUCGGAUUCACUGGGCGUAAAGGGUGCGUAGGUGGUUGGGUAAGUUUGAGGUGAAAGCUCCGAGCCUAACUCGGAAAAUGCCUUGAAGACUAUCUGACUAGAGGAUUGGAGGGGAGAUUGGAAUUCUCGGUGUAGCAGUGAAAUGCGUAGAUAUCGAGAGGAACACCAGUGGCGAAGGCGAAUCUCUGGACAAUUCCUGACACUGAGGCACGAAAGCCAAGGGAGCAAACGGGAUUAGAUACCCCGGUAGUCUUGGCUGUAAACGGUGCGCACUUGCUGUGAGCGGAUUCGACCCCGCUCGUGGCGUAGUUAACACGAUAAGUGCGCCGCCUGGGAAGUACGGUCGCAAGAUUAAAACUCAAAGGAAUUGGCGG
rnacentral:rRNA from 1 species